rnacentral:rRNA from 1 species
CAGUAGCCACGGUAAUACAGAGGGUGCGAGCGUUAAUCGGAUUUACUGGGCGUAAAGCGUGCGUAGGCGGCUUUUUAAGUCGGAUGUGAAAUCCCUGAGCUUAACUUAGGAAUUGCAUUCGAUACUGGGAAGCUAGAGUAUGGGAGAGGUUGGUAGAAUUCCAGGUGUAGCGGUGAAAUGCGUAGAGAUCUGGAGGAAUACCGAUGGCGAAGGCAGCCAUCUGGCCUAAUACUGACGCUGAGGUACGAAAGCAUGGGGAGCAAACAGGAUUAGAUACCCGAGUAGUCCCUGUCUCUUAUAU